rnacentral:rRNA from 1 species
GACGAACGCUGGCGGCGUGCCUAACACAUGCAAGUCGAACGAGGUCCAUGAGAGCUUGCUCUCGGACGACCUAGUGGCGAACGGGUGAGUAACACGUGAGAAACCUGCCUCGGAGUGGGGAAUAACUCGGGGAAACUCGAGCUAAUACCGCAUACCUUCAGAUGAUCGCAUGGUCGACUGAAGAAAGAAUUUCGCUCUGAGAGGGUCUCGCGGCCUAUCAGCUAGUUGGUGGGGUAACGGCCUACCAAGGCAACGACGGGUAGCUGGAUUGAGAGAGUGAUCAGCCACAGUGGGACUGAGACAAGGCCCAGACUCCUACGGGAGGCAGAAGUGGGGAAUCUUGCGCAAUGGGCGAAAGCCUGACGCAGCAACGCCGCGUGCGGGAUGACGGCCUUCGUGGUUGUAAACCGCUUUCAGCAGGGACGAAGUUGACGGUACCAGCAGAAGAAGCCCCGGCUAACUACGUGCCAGCAGCCGCCGUAACAC